GACGAACGCUGGCGGCGUGCUUAACACAUGCAAGUCGAACGGAAAGGCCCUGCUUUUGUGCGGUGCUCGAGUGGCGAACGGGGGAGUAACACGUGAGUAACCUGCCCUUGACUUUGGGAUAACUUCAGGGAACUGCGGCUAAUAUCCGAUAGAAGCUCCUGCUGCGUGUGGGGGAUUGGAAAGUUUCGGCGGUUGUGGAUGGACUGGCGGCUUAUCCGCUUGUUGGUGGGGUUGUUGCUUACCAAGGCUUUGAAGGAUAGGCGGCCUGAGAGGGUGACCGGGGACAAGGGGACUGAGAGACGGCGCAGACGCCAACGGGAGGCAGCAGUGGGGAGUAUGGCGCAAUGGGCGGAAGCCUGAGGCAGAAACGUCGCGAGCGGGAUGACGGCCUUCGGGUUGAAAACCGCUUUCGCCUGUGACGAAGCGUGAGUGACGGUAAUGGGUAAAGAAGCACCGGCUAACUACGUG
rnacentral:rRNA from 1 species